GACGAACGCUGGCGGCGUGCCUAAUACAUGCAAGUAGAACGCUGAAGGAGGAGCUUGCUUCUCUGGAUGAGUUGCGAACGGGUGAGUAACGCGUAGGUAACCUGCCUGGUAGCGGGGGAUAACUAUUGGAAACGAUAGCUAAUACCGCAUAAGAGUAGAUGUUGCAUGACAUUUGCUUAAAAGGUGCAAUUGCAUCACUACCAGAUGGACCUGCGUUGUAUUAGCUAGUUGGUGGGGUAACGGCUCACCAAGGCGACGAUACAUAGCCGACCUGAGAGGGUGAUCGGCCACACUGGGACUGAGGCACGGCCCAGACUCCUACGGGAGGCAGCAGUAGGGAAUCUUCGGCAAUGGACGGAAGUCUGACCGAGCAACGCCGCGGGAGUGAAGAAGGUUUUCGGAUCGUAAAGCUCUGUUGUAAGAGAAGAACGAGUGUGAGAGUGGAAAGUUCACACUGUGACGGUAUCUUACCAGAAAGGGACGGCUAACUACGUA
rnacentral:rRNA from 1 species